GUGCAGCAGGCGAGAAUAGUUGAAAUGGGCGAAAGCCCGAUCACGCGACGCCGCGUGGAGGAGGAAGGCCUUCGGGUUGUAAACUCCUGUCAGGGGUUAUGAAGGCGUCAUCGCUAAUAUCGGUGACGUUUGACAAAGGCCCCAGAGGAAGCUCCGGCUAAAUCCGUGCCAGCAGCCGCGGUAAGUCGGAUGGAGCAAGCGUUGUUCGGAAUUACUGGGCAUAAAGCGCAUGUAGGCGGUUCUGAAAGUCAGGUGUGAAAGCCCCCGGCCCACCCGGGGAACUGCAUUUGAAACUUCAGGGCUUGAGUGGAGGAGGGGAGAGUGGAACUCCUGGUGGAGCGGUAAAAUGCGUAGAUAUCAGGAGGAACGCCGGUGGAGAAGUCGACUCUCUGGCCUUCUACUGACGCUGAGAUGCGAAAGCUAGGGGAGCAAACAGAAUUAGAUACCCCGGUAGUCC
rnacentral:rRNA from 1 species